ACCAGAAGAGGAAUCUGAUUGCACAGAGGACGGCUUUUGUCCCAGACUUUUUAUUUGAAGCAGUGGGCAGAGCCCUGGACUUCAGAGUCUGGAAGACUGGAGAACAAAAUCUGCCUCAGGCAUGUAUUGGCUAUGUGACAGUGGACAAGUCACAAUCGCUCUCGGCCUCAGUUUCCUCAUCUGUAAAAUGAAGCCUCAGGCCCUGGGCUGCUUGGACCCCUCUCUGACCCUUACCACACCAUUCCGUUGCAAGUUGGAGAAGUGGAUGUUGGGGAUGAAGAGAACAGGCUGGCUUUCCAGGUCAGACUCUGGCCGUAGAGCAAGACCAGGAGAUGAUGACAGGCUUAGUCCAACCCAGCCCUUGUGAUAGGAUCCUAGCCCCAGCCCCAGCAGUGACUUCCUCAGCUGAAAUCCCCAGCUGCCCCACCUUCUGGGUCAACUUCCAGGGCAGAAUGGCUAAUGGGGGAAGACCAUAUCUUCUAAGGCAAAAAGCUGGAAGGGAUGCUGAAGGGUGGGAGGGGGGCGAAGCCCUAUCUUCUCAAAGGAUGACAGCAGGUCAAUAAAUAUUUGUGGAGAGUCUAA